rnacentral:tRNA from 1 species
CCGGGCGUGGGGCGCGGGCUCACCUGCGAGUGCCUGGGGCGCGCGGGAGCCGUUCGCGGGCGGCGCCCAGCCGUUCGGCGGCGUACCCGGGC